UACAGAGGGGGCAAGCGUUGUUCAGAAUUACUGGGCGUAAAGGGCGCGUAGGCGGCCUUCUAAGUCGAACGUGAAAUCCCCGGGCUCAACCCGGGAACUGCGUCCGAUACUGGAAGGCUUGAAUCCGGGAGAGGGAUGUGGAAUUCCAGGUGUAGCGGUGAAAUGCGUAGAUAUCUGGAGGAACACCGGUGGCGAAGGCGGGUCUCUGGGCAAUUCCUGACGCUGAGGCGCGAAAGCGUGGGGAGCAAACGGG
rnacentral:rRNA from 1 species